CACGUAGGCACCAAGCGUUGUCCGGAUUUAUUGGGCGUAAAGAGCUCGUAGGCGGUUCGGUAAGUCGGGUGUGAAAACUUUGGGCUCAACCCAAAGCCUGCACUCGAUACUGCUGUGACUUGAGUCCGGUAGGGGAGUGGGGAAUUCCUGGUGUAGCGGUGGAAUGCGCAGAUAUCAGGAGGAACACCGGUGGCGAAGGCGGGUCUCUGGGCAAUAACUGACGCUGAGGAGCGAAAGCGUGGGGAGCGAACAGG
rnacentral:rRNA from 1 species